rnacentral:rRNA from 1 species
GAUGAACGCUGGCGGCGUGCCUAAUACAUGCGAGUCGAGCGAACGGACGAGAAGCUUGCUUCUCUGAUGUUAGCGGCGGACGGGUGAGUAACACGUGGAUAACCUACCUAUAAGACUGGGAUAACUUCGGGAAACCGGAGCUAAUACCGGAUAAUAUUUUGAACCGCAUGGUUCAAAAGUGAAAGACGGUCUUGCUGUCACUUAUAGAUGGAUCCGCGCUGCAUUAGCUAGUUGGUAAGGUAACGGCUUACCAAGGCAACGAUGCAUAGCCGACCUGAGAUGGUGAUCGGCCACACUGGAACUGAGACACGGUCCAGACUCCUACGGGAGGCAGCAGUAGGGAAUCUUCCGCAAUGGGCGAAAGCCUGACGGAGCAACGCCGCGUGAGUGAUGAAGGUCUUCGGAUCGUAAAACUCUGUUAUUAGGGAAGAACAUAUGUGUAAGUAACUGUGCACAUCUUGACGGUACCUAAUCAGAAAGCCACGGCUAACUACGUG